ACUGUGCUUCGGUAGAUGAGAGGUGCUUCAGAGAGGAGAGAGACUAUGUCUAUACCAACUGUUCUGACCUGUGAACAUCUGAAUGAUUAGUAGCCUAACAUU
rnacentral:snoRNA from 1 species